UCACUUUCGAAAAAAGCGGAGGGUUACGGGAGGAGAACAUAAUCAGACUGUCAUCAUUACAAGCCACAAGCUACAAACGGAGGAGUUUGGGCUGAACUGCCUUUUUAUUGUCCUCUUAUACAUCGACAGGAUUUUUUUGUUUCACAGUGUCCUUGUUAACAUAAAUGCAACUUUAUCACGGAUUGUUCGCUUGACGUCUUUCGAGGUUUUUAAACUUUUCUUGAAUUGGAGUGAGGCCUCGGUGCCAUGCCAGAGAAAUCCCAUAGCACGGCCCAUGACGUCCCAAUGGGUGAAGGAGAUGGUGUUUGUCUGUAGACACCCCUGAAAACGUUAAGCAGGAUUUUCCACCCAUUGAGUUGUGUGCACCUGGGUGUCUUGGAAACCAUCAGUUUGAAAGAUAAAAGCUCUACAUGAAGGUGUGUAAAACAAUAUUUUUGAUUUAUUUUAGUUAGCUUGAUUAGACUGUUUUAACAUUAAAUAUUGCUGUGCUAAAUCAAUCUUUAGGUUUGGAUUAAAUAAGUUUUAUUAUGACUUAAAAAUAUUAUUGAUUUCAUUAUAUCAUAUAACAAUAAUUGACUUAAGUUGAUUAAAAACGUUUCCAAAUGCAAAUAUGUCAGAGACAUUACAUUAUUGUGACAGAUGAAAGCAUUGAAUAAAUGUUGCAAAAACAACUUUUGAAGAAGUGUG
ensembl:lncRNA